AGGAUAAUAGUUAAAAAUAAUAUUUAAAUUGCAUUUAAAAGGUAUUGAAAAUAAAUCAAUUUAUCUU
rnacentral:tRNA from 1 species